UGUAGGCAUCUUAUCAUCUCACAUCAUCACAAGAAGGUUAAGUACGGUAAAAUAAGAUAUUCUGAGAAAGAUACCACAUUUAUAUAACUUAUACUACAGUCUAUCAUCAUAAUUGAUCUAUUGCAUUAUGGUUAUUGUUGUUAAUCUCUCACCGUGCCUAAUAUAUCAAUUAAACAUUAUCAUAGGUAUGUAUAGGAAAACCACAGUAUAUGUCGCGUUUGGUACUAUCUGUGGUUUCAGGUAUCCACUGGGGGUCUUGGAAUGUAUUCCCUGUAGAUAAAGGGGGACUACUAUAUACCAAUUUGCUCAUAUCCUGGCUUCCUAUUCACUUCUUCUGCCUCUGUCCUUCCUUCUGUCUUCCUCCGCAUUAAAAACUCAAAUAUGCUAAGAGAAAGCUUUCACUUUUUAAAUAGCCUAAAUUGGCACAGUUUGCUUUUUCACCAUCUCUGAAAAUUAACAUGUGACCAAAUCAUUUCACCUCUGGUAGCAGAGAUGUAUGAGACUAUACUUUUCUGUAAUGCCAGAAAAGCAUAAUCCAAUUUAGUAGAGGCAAAGAAAGAAAAGGAUGGUGAUAAAUUUCUACAUAAAUGCCUCAUGUUGGCAUGAGAUCAUCUACAAUCCUCUUAUUUGUCAAAUAAAGAGAUGGAGAUUCAGGGAGUUAGAGUCACUUUCUAUCACAAAGCCUGUAGCAGAAUCAAGACUCAAGCCCAAGUCUUCAGAGCAAAGCUUAGUACGUUAUAUCACACUUUUCUCCUGGCUUCCAUUUCUGAGACUCACCAAAAGCUUCAAGACCAGAGAACAUAAUUUGCCAUCUUAUACUUAGAAAAUGCCAUCAGUUUUUCUGCACUAAUUACGGGUCCUUUGGAUGAAGAUAGUAACAUAAAACUGGCAGUAUUUUUCAUGGAAGAAGAUUUAUGCAUCACUGCAUUUGGCUUUUGAGCUUCUCCAGGGAAGGAACAUACUUAUUCAGGUUUGUGUCUCCACAAACACCUGGCAUGUUACCUGGCUCAUCCUUGGUGACCAGUAAAUAAUUGUUAAACUGAAUUACUGGAUUCUGCUUUGUCGUCCAAUAUGCUGGCGAUGUCAUCUGGGAAUACUGGCAAGAACAGUUCUUGAAGUUUGCAUUGGUGUGGACAGAGUACAUAGCCAUCAACAUGGCAUGGAUUUGAGAGUGAAUAAAAAAAAGAAACAAAAAGAGAAGAUAAUCAUUUAGCGGUAUCCUGGAUCCAGCUCUCCUUAAUGAGCUCCACCCCGUGACCAAGACAUCUGCAGAGGCCUCUCCCGUUUUGUUUUUGAUGCCGCAUGUGAAGAGAGUGGCAGAUCCCCAAUAGGAGUCUGAUAAUAGCAGAACGACUGGGCACUGAACCCCCAAAGCUCGAAACUCACCAAAAACAG